rnacentral:tRNA from 1 species
GCCGCGGUGGCGGAAUUGGCAGACGCGCUGGACUUAGGAUCCAGUCCUUAAUAGGGGUGCGAGUUCAAAUCUCGCCCGCGGCA